GUUCCGGUUGUCACGCCAGUGGCAUUGCCGGGUAGCUAUGUUCGGAAAAGAUAACCGCUGAAAGCAUCUAAGCGGGAAACUUGCCUCAAGAUGAGAUCUCACUGGAACCUUGAGUUCCCUGAAGGGCCGUCGAAGACUACGACGUUGAUAGGUUGGGUGUGUAAGCGCUGUGAGGCGUUGAGCUAACCAAUACUAAUUGCCCGUGAGGCUUGACCAUAUAACACCCAAGCAAUU
rnacentral:rRNA from 1 species